rnacentral:rRNA from 1 species
GACGAACGCUGGCGGCGUGCUUAACACAUGCAAGUCGAACGGGGCUUGCCCUUUGGGGUGGGUUUAGUGGCGAACGGGUGAGUAACACGUGGGUAAUCUGCCCUCAGCUCUGGGAUAACUCCGGGAAACCGGGGCUAAUACUGGAUAUGACUACUGGUGACAUCGCCUGGUGGUGGAAAGAUUUUCUGGCUGAGGAUGGGCCCGCGGCCUAUCAGCUUGUUGGUGGGGUAAUGGCCUACCAAGGCUCGACGGGUAGCCGGCCUGAGAGGGCGACCGGCCACACUGGGACUGAGACACGGCCCAGACUCCUACGGGAGGCAGCAGUGGGGAAUAUUGCGCAAUGGGCGGAAGCCUGACGCAGCGACGCCGCGUGAGGGAUGACGGCCU